rnacentral:tRNA from 1 species
UUUACCUUUCAGUUAGUAGCGCCGCUCUCGAUACUGGGCUCAGUUACUGAACCUCGUAUCAAGCUUGCGAUGUCGAACGCUUGAAAAUGUAUUGAAGGUUGGGUCGGUCUGAAGAAGUUUGCUGAAGAAGCUUUUCUAAGCGUAUUUCUUGCAGACUUGCUCAACUUAUGACGUGAAUGCGUCUCGUCAGGCGCUCACACAAAUUACCUGACCGGUGAUGGAGCAGCGGGCACUCGAUGGCCGAUUUUUUCGUCGACGUAUUUGUACUCGGCGAGACGAGUGUCAGCCGAACAAGCGCUCGCAAAAGCCUCUGCGCGCUGCCUACAGGUAGCGCGGCGCACAUCGAAGGGGGCUUCGCUAGAGCGCGACCGCACGACCCGGGUCUGUAGCUCAGUUGGUUAGAGCGCACCCCUGAUAAGGGUGAGGUCGGUAGUUCAAAUCUACCCAGACCCACCACUACAAACGGGGCCAUAGCUCAGCUGGGAGAGCACCUGCUUUGCAAGCAGGGGGUCGGCGGUUCGAUCCCGCCUGGCUCCACCACUCAAGUACAUCGCGACGUUCUCGAUUGACGAUUGACACUGUCAAUGACUUAGUUGAGUCGACUUAGUUGGGUCGCGGCGCAAGGAUUAUGCAUAACGGCGACUUCGGUCGCCGUUUCGCUCUUUAACAAUUCGGUGAGAUGUAAAGGCGCAAAUCAACGGAAGGAUCUCUCAACCUUCCGUUGUGGAACG